GCCCUAGUAGCUUAAGUUCUAAAGCCUUGGUCUUGUAAACCAAAAAUGAGAUACGCCCCUCCUAGGCCAA
rnacentral:tRNA from 1 species